rnacentral:rRNA from 1 species
GACGAACGCUGGCGGCGUGCUUAACACAUGCAAGUCGAACGCUGAAGCUCAGCUUUUGUUGGGUGGAUGAGUGGCGAACGGGUGAGUAACACGUGAGUAACCUGCCUCCUUCUUUGGGAUAACGCCCGGAAACGGGUGCUAAUACUGGAUAUUCACUGGUCUUCGCAUGGGGGUUGGUGGAAAGGGUUUUUCUGGUGGGGGAUGGGCUCGCGGCCUAUCAGCUUGUUGGUGGGGUGAUGGCCUACCAAGGCUUUGACGGGUAGCCGGCCUGAGAGGGUGAACGGUCAAAUGGGGACUGAGAUACGGCCCAGACUCGUACGGGAGGCAGCAGUGGGGAAUAUUGCACAAUGGGGGCAAGCGUGAUGCAGCGACGCCGCGUGAGGGAUGGAGGCCGUCGGGUUGUGAAACUCUUUCGCUCAUGGUCAAGCCGCAACAAUGGUUGUGGUGAGGGUAGUGGGUAAAGAAGCGCCGGCUAACUACGUG